CAGAGGGUGCAAACGUUGUUCGGAAUUACUGGGCGUAAAGCGUGUGUAGGCGGUCCACUAAGUCGGGUGUGAAAGCCCUGGGCUCAACCCAGGAAGUGCACUCGAAACUGGCGGGCUAGAGUAUCGGAGAGGUUGGUGGAAUUCUCGGUGUAGAGGUGAAAUUCGUAGAUAUCGAGAGGAACACCGGUGGCGAAGGCGGCCAACUGGACGAAUACUGACGCUGAGACACGAAAGCGUGGGGAGCAAACAGGAUUAGAUACCCUGGUAGUCCACGCCGUAAACGAUGGGUGCUAGGUGUCGCGGGCUUUGACUCCCGCGGUGCCGUAGCUAACGCAUUAAGCACCCCGCCUGGGAAGUACGGCCGCAAGGCUA
rnacentral:rRNA from 1 species